rnacentral:rRNA from 1 species
AACCUUUGCAAUUAAGAUGAGAAAAAGGUGGGAGGAAACCCAGGAUGAUAGAGAGGGGAUGGAAUCUAUCGGGAAGUGUUUGGGGAGAGAGGAAGGGCCUGAGGUGAAAUCAUGGCCAUCUCCAUGUCCUUGCCCACCUUUUUAUUCCUCUCUCUGUCCCUCUUUCUUCUCCCAGGAAAAAACACACACACAAGGAGAGAGAGAGAGAGAGGGAGAGAAGAAGAGAUGGGAGGACAAGCAAGCCUUUCCCAAUGACCAAAAGCUGGCCCCAAUCGCAUAAAUAUAUAGAGGGGGCUGCCUACUGCUUGGUCCCUUCCGCUUUCUGCCCACAUUUGCAUGCACCAAAACAAGAGACUCCCUGAUGAGCUGCAUAAAUAUAUGGAGUACUAAUCAACCCAUAAUCCAAUCUUUGCCAGGAGGGGCCCUCCCUCCCGUGGGCAGAAUAAUGCCAAGAGUGGGAACUGAAAGCAGCAGCACCGAACGAUAAAGAAGAAGAACAAGCUGGAUUUUAUUGCCCCAAACAAGGCAACAAAUCGCCUCAAGAACUACCAAGCAGCCAAAACAGAGAUUGCAAUCCCUGAUGAGACGACAAGUCCAGGGAUGCAGCGGCCCCUCAAAAAAGAAGUCCAGGGAUGCAGCGGUGCCAGGCAGGAAUGGGAACCAGACAGAGAAAUUCUAAGAGGAACAAACCAAGAAGGAUGCGGUUCAGUAACCCUCCACAAGUCCGAAUUAUCUUGACAGGUUUUUUUCUUUUCUUUUUUGAGAACAAUUAUCUUGACAGGUGAAUCGGUGGAAUUUGGAGGAUUCUCUUCCAGCACCACUUGGGCUACUGCCCAAACAGGAGUUG